AGAGGAAGGCACUAUUUUCAUGUCCGUUUUACAAACGCAAGACGGAGACUUGGGGACUUGCCCAGUGAAGAAGAAAUAAAAGAUUCCCAGGAUGAAGAUUUUCCAGAAGGGACUUUGAGUUAAAGAAGACUUCUUAUAUGUAACAAGUGUUGUCAGCUGUAAUGAAGAACACUGUGAGACAGAAGAUUGAAUAAAGCCUUGUAACAACU